rnacentral:rRNA from 1 species
AGAGUUUGAUCCUGGCUCAGAAUCAACGCUGGCGGCGUGCCUAACACAUGCAAGUCGGACGCGAAAGCGGGCUUCGGCUCGUGAGUAGAGUGGCGGACGGGUGAGUAACACGUGGGUGACCUGCCUGGUGGAGGGGGAUAACUUCUCGAAAGGGAAGCUAAUACCGCAUGAGCUCUCGGUAGCGAUAUUGAGAGGAAAGCCGAAAGGCGCCACUGGAGGGGCCCGCGCUCGAUUAGCUAGUUGGUGAGGUAAGGGCUCACCAAGGCGACGAUCGAUAGCCGGUCUGAGAGGACGGACGGCCACACUGGAACUGAGACACGGUCCAGACUCCUACGGGAGGCAGCAGUGGGGAAUUUUGCGCAAUGGGCGAAAGCCUGACGCAGCAACGCCGCGUGGAGGAUGAAGGUUUUCGGAUCGUAAACUCCUGUCCUCAGGGAAGAAGAAAGUGACGGUACCUGGGGAGGAAGCCCCGGCUAACUCCGUGCCAGCAGCCGCGGUAAUAC